UUUCUAGUUAUUGCUAGUUAUUCUAGGUAGCGGCACGGUAGCCCGAUUUCGCCAUCUUGUAACCAUAGACUCAUAGGGUUAAGAGAGUGGGGGAUUAGAGCGAUGCCAGGAUUGGCAGGUUGGCACCCACUGCUUUUAGCAUCAGGAAUGUAUCUAUUACGACCAUAAAACUGGUGCCCUUAGUCGUCCCAAUGAAAAAUAGGACAAUUGAAGUACACAAAAAUUGAGACCAUGCAUUGUGUCCUCAUGGACUGCAGCUGUUUGGUUGUGUUGUAGCUAUAAGGGAGCCAGCGGGUCCUAAAAAAUAUUUUAAUGUAAGACAGUUACAAUGUGCAUACAAAAGGCAUUAUGUACAAUGUACGGAAGGUGUUGUAGCCGCGUAGAUGACUCCUUAUCCUUAUAAAUAAAAGAAAGUAAAGUUAGAUACUUAUCUUUCAAAAAUAUCGGCGAUUCGACACACGUGUUCGUUCCAAGAUCGUCUCCCUGGGAAUUGCUUUGACACGCUACAUUUUCUGUUGCAAAAGUUAACAUCUCGCAACUACUGGUGGAAUUGUAAUACCUUUCCAUGUAUGUGUCUAUCGGAGCUUGAUUGAAUUUUUGUUGUGUGGGCGAAUUUUCCAUGAUUCUCAUCAAAUACGAGAAUACUGGCUUCACCGCUACUCCGGACAUAUGAGGAGUUGAAAGUGGAAUAACGUCAUAGUUACAACUCUGGAAACAAAAGAGAAUUAUAAAUUAAUCGCAAGUUGGAAGGCACGUAAUAAAAUAAAUAACCGAAUGUAGUUCGAGCGAGAUUUAAGGGGGGAGACACCGCAUUAGGGGGCCAAGUAUUUAACAGUAAAAACAAAGUUGCUUAUUAAAAACUCCAACCGUGACCACGUCCAGAAGAAUACUGUCACUGAUUCUC